UACGGGGGGGGGCAAGCGUUGUUCGGAAUUACUGGGCGUAAAGGGUGCGUAGGUGGCGGGGUAAGUCAGGUGUGAAAUCUCGAGGCUCAACCUCGAAACUGCACUUGAUACUGCCUUGCUAGAGUACUGGAGAGGAGAUUGGAAUUUACGGUGUAGCAGUGAAAUGCGUAGAUAUCGUAAGGAAGACCAGUGGCGAAGGCGAAUCUCUGGACAGUUACUGACACUGAGGCACGAAGGCCAGGGGAGCAAACGGG
rnacentral:rRNA from 1 species